rnacentral:rRNA from 1 species
CGUAUCCUACGGGAGGCAGCAGUGAGGAAUAUUGGUCAAUGGACGAGAGUCUGAACCAGACAAGUAGCGUGAAGGAUGACUGCCCUAUGGGUUGUAAACUUCUUUUAUAUGGGAAUAAAAUGUUCCACGUGUGGGAUUUUGUAUGUACCAUAUGAAUAAGGAUCGGCUAACUCCGUGCUAGCAGCCGCGGUAAUACGGAGGAUCCGAGCGUUAUCCGGAUUUACUGGGUUUAAAGGGAGCGUAGGUGGAUUGUUAAGUCAGUUGAGAAAGAUUGCGGCUCAACCGUAAAAUUGCAGUAGAAACUG